GUGCUGCACGGCUGUCGUCAGCUCGUUUUGUGAAAUGUUGGGUUAAGACCCGCAACGAGCGCAACCCCUAUUGAUAGUUACCAUCAUUAAGUUGGGUACUCUAUUAAGACUGCCGCUGACAAGUCGGAGGAAGGUGGGGACGACGUCAAGUCAUCAUGGCCCUUACGACCAGGGCUACACACGUGCUCCAAUGGGUAUUACAGAGGGCUGCGAAGGUGCGAGCUGGAGCGAAACUCA
rnacentral:rRNA from 1 species